CAGUUCUAAAGUUUCAGUCUUGGAAGUGAACAUAACAGUCCAAGUCACGCCUUCAGAUGACAGAAGCUCCAGCCAACAUCUUGAGUGUAACCUUAUGAAGAGACCAUGAGCCAUAAUCACUCAUCUAAGUCAUUCCUGGAUUCUCCACUCAGAAUCUAUGAGACCCCAGACUCAGCUGGCAGAGAGGAGAAGCAGCUGAAUGUUGGAGACCACAGCUGGACAUCAGAAAGCAGCGGCUUGACUUCAGAGGGACAGCUUGAUGGUGUAACUUCGGAGAGGAAUCUGACCAGAGAUGACCAGACUUCAUUGGAAGAUUACCUACACCUGCU
rnacentral:lncRNA from 10 species